UACGUAGGGGGCGAGCGUUGUCCGGAUUUAUUGGGCGUAAAGAGCUCGUAGGCGGUUUGGCAAGUCGGGUGUGAAAACUCCGGGCUCAACUCGGAGACGCCACUCGAUACUGCUAUGACUCGAGUCCGGUAGGGGAGUGCGGAAUUCCUGGUGUAGCGGUGAAAUGCGCAGAUAUCAGGAGGAACACCGGUGGCGAAGGCGGCUCACUGGACCGGUUCUGACGCUGAAGCGCGAAAGCGUGGGGAGCAAACGGG
rnacentral:rRNA from 1 species